rnacentral:rRNA from 1 species
UACGUAGGGUGCGAGCGUUGUCCGGAAUUAUUGGGCGUAAAGGGCUCGUAGGCGGUCUGUUACGUCGGGAGUGAAAACUCGGGGCUCAACCCCGAGCCUGCUUCCGAUACGGGCAGACUAGAGGUAUGCAGGGGAGAAUGGAAUUCCUGGUGUAGCGGUGAAAUGCGCAGAUAUCAGGAGGAACACCUGAGGUGAAGACGGGUUGCUAGGCUGACACUGACGCUGAGGCGCGAAAGCCAGGGGAGCAAACGGG